UGAGGAAGAUGAUGGCAUCAGAAUCCAGUAUUUACUUAAUCAGCAGCUUGUGGUUGUUUAUCUGAGUCAAAGAUCAGAGAACGGCCAAUCACAGCCAAACAUCAACAAUGUCAGCCAAUAUCUGAUAAGAAGAACAUGGUAGAGGACACAGCAAAGAACUUACACAAACACCCAAAAGCAGGCGUAGAGUGAGAAUUAAGAAACGUGUGGCUGUGAGGCACCAGGUUGCACACGUUCACAUUUUAACUUUCAGUCUCCUUCAAAGAAAUAUCCUGGAGUUUCCUUAAUAUCCUUCAGAGGAUGAGCAGGAAUGAUGUUGAGAUCUGGCCAGAAAAAGAAAGAGGGAGGGAAAACCAGGCGGUCCCAGCAGAUGGAGUUUCUGCUGCAUAUUUGCAGCAGGACACGCUCUUCCUCUUGUCCCAUGAGAAUACAGCAUUUGGCAGCCAAAUUUAUUUUGCAGAAACUGUUCAGGCAAGCAGUGAAGAUGAGUCACGGGCAAAUGAUGGCCAGGUCAAUCCAGACGCAUCCUGGCUAUGUUGAGUUCAAUCUUGCACAGCUAUGAUAAGGAUAUGAGAAGGACAGCAGGACCAUAUAAAGAAAAUGAGAGCCUGAGGCGGUGGGAUUGGUCAGAUUGAGAGUGGCCUGGGUUGCAUGAAAGACUGCAUAAUAUUGGAACAAUGUGC